rnacentral:lncRNA from 1 species
UAAAAUCUUCCUCUGCCUCUCUUUUAGAAGGACCCUUGUGAUUACAUUUAAGAUCCAUCUGAAUAAUCCGGGAUAAUCUCCCCACUCAAGGGCUUUCAGUCACACCAGCAAAGUCCGUUUUGCCAUGUAGGGUAAUAUUCACAGGUUCCAGGGGUUAGGACCUGGCUGUCUUUGGGGGCCAUCAUUCAGCCCACCCAGUCAGUAACCUGUGAAAUGCACGUGGCCCCAUCAGCUCAUGGUUCGGGGUUGGCUGGUCUUGAGGAAGACAUCAGGCUGAAGGAAGUCUUCUGGAGACUCAGCUGGCAGAGAGGAGAAGCAGCGGGACAUCAGGACUAUGGCUGGACGUCAGAGAGAAGCAGCUUAACUUCAGAGGUGCAGCUUGAUGGUGUAACUUAGGAGAAGAAUCUGACUGGAGACGGCCAGACUUCAGAAGAAGAUGACCUACCCCCCCAUCCCCUUUUCAGCUUCCCUUCCCGCUGAGAGCCACUUUUAUUGGCAAUAAAAUCCUCCACAUUUACCACCUUUCAAUGUGUUCAUGUGACUUCAUUAUUCCUGGACACCGGACAAGAGCUCAGGGGCCACAGGUGUGGAUAUGAAA